UACGUAGGGGGCAAGCGUUGUCCGGAAUCAUUGGGCGUAAAGAGCGCGUAGGCGGUCCGGUAAGUCCGCUCUGAAAGUCCGGGGCUCAACCCCGGGAGGCGGGCGGAUACUGUCGGGCUAGAGUCCGGAAGAGGCGAGUGGAAUUCCUGGUGUAGCGGUGAAAUGCGCAGAUAUCAGGAGGAACACCGGUGGCGAAGGCGGGUCUCUGGGCCGAUACUGACACUGAGGAGCGAAAGCGUGGGGAGCGAACAGG
rnacentral:rRNA from 1 species